AUUUGGGGUGGGGGGAAACUUAUGAGGAAGGGCUUGCUGUUUGAUGUCUUCCUACGGGCUUUGACUGAAUGUGGGAAGCUGGAGAAAUCAGACCACUCACUCAGUCUUUGGCCCCCUCGUCUGUAAGAUCAGUCUGGCAGAAGGGUGACCAUCAAGGCCGUUGAGUCUGUGUACCCAAAGCCUCUCCCUCGGAGAACAUCUGUCUCACUCCAGCCAUUUUUUCUGAAACAUGGAAAAAGGGAUUGCUUGGCUUUUGGACAAGAGGCUCCCAAGCACCAGCCAUCUUUGCGUAUUGCUUGCUUCCCCAUUUGGGCUUAACCAUGGAGACUCAAAAGGUGAAGGGCUACAAAACCCCCCUCACUUGCAUGUUCACGACAGAAGGUCCUGCCAGCCACUUCAAGAUUCCCAAUGUCAGGCUGAAAUUGAUUAAUUGGAAAGCAGCAAAUUGAAGAAAGCUGGGCAUGUUGACGUCGGAGACGCAGUCAGAAAUCUACCAAGGAUGAAAAAUGUCAUAUCUGGAGGGGGAUUGCAGAGAGGAGGGAAAAGAAGACUUUUCCAAACACAACUCUUUUGUCAAUUACUUUAAGGAUCUAGCCUUGCUCAGAGCGAGGCUCGUCAACACGGUGCCUGAAACGCUACUGGCAUUCUGGCUACACAAGGGCUCCUCAUAUUGCUAAUGUUGUGUCAGCAGUGGCAGGACAGUUUUACAAAAUGCAGCCCGGCUACCCUUGGGCAGUGACAGGCAAUUACAUUUCAUGGAGGUCUAGUCACGCAAACAGUGUCCUGGCACAAAACUAGCCACCUUUCCAUUCAUGUCUCAGUCUUCUUCCCAGAGACUCAUCCAUUUUGGUAAACAAACAAACAAACAAACAAACCCCACCUUUUCAUAUAACUAAUUGCCUCAAUGAAAAAUUGGUCCACAUCUUGAAAGCCAUUGGCCUGGUUAUUGUGGGAAAUAGCUGCACACUCAACUGAUGAUUUAGUGUUUUUCAUUUUCAUUUUGCUAUUGAGUUUGGUACCACCCAUUUCCCUACCUCAUGUGCACAUGUGGAAUAGUCUCACUUGUGGUGAUUUUUAUGGGAAGACCUGGGUUGCUACAGCUUUAAAAAUGGCCUGAACUUAAUUGCAAAGCUCAGCUUAGAUGUCUCCUGUUCUUGCUUGCUUGCUUGCUGUUUUUCAGUUCAUUUACGUGGGUAAAGUGCUGCAUUUUGUGAAAGUUGUUGGUUUUUCAAAAUACACAUUUUGUGAAUGCAAGUGCAGGAAUUUAUCAGCAUUUCAGGGCAUGUGUGCUCCUGUUUAUAUUCACACUUGGCAAGGCUGCAUUUUUGAGAGGUGUGUGAACUGAAACAAAAUCCUGAUACCUCUGGGUAGAUUAUCAUGAGCUGUUGGAUUUGGACCUGUCCUGAAAGACAUGGCAGAAACUACAGUAAAUGCAACAUAUGGCAGCCAGGGAGUGGUCUGGAUCUAGCUGGUAUGACCAUAUUCUGUCAGUACUGUACCAUCUUCCCUGGACCCCAGUUCAUUUCUGGACACAAGUCAAGAUGGUGGCAUUGACUGUUGAAGUAUCUGAAGGAAUGGCAGUUCCCGGAGGCUCCUGCCUGUGCCCUGAGGUCAUCACCUGAGUGCCCCAACACACUGAACGUCCGUGGGUGGCUACCAUGAGUGAGCUUUUCUUCUAGUGCCCUCUAAACUGCAGGAUGCCUCCUUAGAAAGCCCCGUCAGGUGCCUACUUGGUUGACUUUUCUGUGUUAAUCAAAGUCCUUCCCACUCUCAGGCCAUUCAAACUACAAAACAACUUCUUCCUGUUUUACUUUUAAUGAUACAUUUAAACCAGCAUUUUAAAUAUUCAUUCCCUGUGUUUUAGGUUCUUUGAUAUAUACACCUGGUCCAAAAUUAGGACAAAAAGUAGGAAUUUGCUUGCAAGCAAAUCUCAAGUUCUUCAUGUUCUCCCAGUUCCACAUUCAAACUGAUUACAUCUCGUAUCUAUUUCUUUGUUCUUGCUGCUGCUGUUGUUUUUUUCACAUGAACAAUCAUGUGUUUUCAUGCACAUGCUAUUAAAUGGAAUGUUUCUGGGAUUGUA